rnacentral:miRNA from 1 species
AAGUACUAGUGCCGCAGGAG